rnacentral:rRNA from 1 species
GACGAACGCUGGCGGCGUGCCUAAUACAUGCAAGUAGAACGCUGAAGAGAGGAGCUUGCUCUUCUUGGAUGAGUUGCGAACGGGUGAGUAACGCGUAGGUAACCUGCCUUGUAGCGGGGGAUAACUAUUGGAAACGAUAGCUAAUACCGCAUAACAAUGGAUGACACAUGUCAUUUAUUUGAAAGGGGCAAUUGCUCCACUACAAGAUGGACCUGCGUUGUAUUAGCUAGUAGGUGAGGUAAUGGCUCACCUAGGCGACGAUACAUAGCCGACCUGAGAGGGUGAUCGGCCACACUGGGACUGAGACACGGCCCAGACUCCUACGGGAGGCAGCAGUAGGGAAUCUUCGGCAAUGGGGGCAACCCUGACCGAGCAACGCCGCGUGAGUGGAGAAGGUUUUCGGAUCGUAAAGCUCUGUUGUAAGUCAAGAACGGGUGUGAGAGUGGAAAGUUCACACUGUGACGGUAGCUUACCAGAAAGGGACGGCUAACUACGUG